GACGAACGCUGGCGGCGUGCUUAACACAUGCAAGUCGAGCGGUAAGGCCCUUUCGGGGGUACGACGAGCGGCGAACGGGUGAGUAACACGUGGGUGACCUGCCCUCAGCUCUGGGAUAAGCCUGGGAAACCGGGUCUAAUACCGGAUAUGACUCCAUGACGCAUGUUGUGGGGUGGAAAGCCUUGUGCGGCUGAGGAUGGGCCCGCGGCCUAUCAGCUUGUUGGUGGGGGGA
rnacentral:rRNA from 1 species